AGCGGGAGGGGGCCGGGCUAGCGGGCUACUGGGCUGCGGAGACCAGAGCCCGGCUCCACUGAAGAAACCCGCCGGCUGCUGGGGCAGGGCGGCGAAAGGUCAGUCGGCCGAGAGGAGUCCGUGGAGCCACCGUUUCAUAGCCUCAGGGAAAGGAUCGGGCGUGCUCACGAGCCCUCUAACCCAUGGCUUAAACACCCGCUUCCUAAGCCUGGUUCCUGAAUAUAUCACAUGUGGUGAUAAACAUGAAGAUGUAUGAAAAAUUGUGUUCGUUGAGAGAAAAUGGAAGGCUUUUCAUUCUACUUCCACAUUUUCAUUCCAGCAGCUUUUCUGUUUUGGAAGAUGAGUACUGAAUCUUGCAAUGAAAUUUUUUUAACUUAAACAAGGUUCUUAUGCCUUUGUUUGAAAAACAUGGUUCCCUGUGAAAUUUUACAUGUAGAAGAAAGCUUCACACUACGAGAGCUCUCAGGAUAUAAUUAUUUCAGACAGAUACUGGGAACAUAAGAUGGCUUAUCAAUCUAAGAUGGCCUUCCUGUCCUUCGGAUUGAACUGAAACCAUCCCUGAUUCCAGGGAUAGGUAGAUGAUCCAGGUUUGGACAAUCAAAAUAUUGAACCACCCUGGACCUACAAGUGUUUCUGGGAUGGGAACAUGCAAACGUUGGUCCAAAUUGUUGUUCUAGGCAGCCCAGUACAUUUCUCCAAUGCCUGAUGGAAUGAUAGGGUAUGCAUAAAUGUUCAUGUGGGCUCUGGAGUAUACCAGGAACUGAAGUAAGGUACAUGGACGUCUUGAAUAUUGUAACUGAGAUGGGCAAGCCUACACCUUUGCAAAUAAAGGAGGAUUGGGAAAGAUUAAGCCUCUCAAGCACUGUGAAAAAUCACUUUCUCUUGUUGUAUUCUUGGAGCCCCUGCUAAUUCAUUAUUGAAAAAUACCUGCUGCCUGCAUUUGGCCUUAUGUUGUCAUUUACUUGGUACUUCCUAAGCGUGGCUACUCCAAUGAAGCUUUAGUAUAUGUACUGAAAGAAGAUCCUCUCAUACUGCCACAGCCAAGAGAUAAGGUUGUAAAUCUUUAUUGGGAGAAGCCGUCAAGGACAGUUCUGUGAAAUGAAAGGAUCUCUGGAUCACCACAAAGUCUGGCUCAGUGACUAUGGCUUUGCAAACACUAAACAUUCCUGUCUCAAGUCCUGUAGAUGGCUUGAAAUAGUAUACAUAAGCAUGCCUUAUAAACAUCUUCAGUCUUUAUCAACUCUUUGGAGAUUCAGCCAUUCUUUUUUGUACUUUAGGGAAUUAAAUCAUUUUAUAAUGUAUAAAUCUGAGCAUGGCCGAUGGCAGAAGAAAUUUUGUCAUACGUUUUUAAAGAAAUAAAAAUGUAUUAUGUUUUAAAAUUC
rnacentral:lncRNA from 1 species